GGCUCAAUGGUCUAGUGGUAUGAUUCGCGCUUCGGGUGGAUAAACCCACUGCUUGUAAACAGGCGAAGAUGUGCGAGGUCUCGGGUUCGAUCCCCGAUUGAGCCC